GUUUUUGUUUUUUUACACAUAAUUGAUUGGUCACUCCGCCAAAAAUUAGAUGUUUUUAUUUUUAUACUAUUUUUGAUAAAUCAUUUAGAUGUUUUUAUUAGGCUAUACUUAAAUACAUCAUUUAUGUCUGUAAUUAACUAUUGCCGAUUUUAAUUACUCAUAACUAAGUAGCUAUUACUGAUAUGGUUAUUAAUUUUGAUCGGAGAGAGAAUCAUAGCAUAUCGGCUAUGUUAGUUAAUCUAACUUUGUAUGUAUUUUAUUUUUAGUGUAAGGUUUGUGGGUUUUGUUAAGGAAUAUGAAUGUUUAUAUCCGUAAUUAGUGUCGAUUUUGAUUAUUCAGACCUAAGUAGCUAUUAAUGAUGGCCAAAUGAUCUUUUGGGGGCAAUUUUUUUUUUCAAAUUUAUCACUUGGGAUAAAAUUUAAAUUAAUAGCCGGGAUAAAUUUGAAAAAAAAUUGCUGGCAAAUGGUCGUUUGUCCAUUAUUGAUACAAAAAAUUAAUUUUGAUCGGAGAAAUGAUCAAAUUGUGAAUCUCGUAAUCUUUAUCUUCUCUCAAUCUCAAUCUCCUAAUCUUUUUCUUCUCUCAAUCUCAAUCGCUUAAACACCGUUGAAUAAUCAUGUCUAGUUCUUCUCAAUCUCGUUUUGCCACUCGGAUACUGUUGGGUUCUCCACAAUCUCGUUCUCUCUUGCGAGCAUUGUUUGAUUCUCCCAAAACAGUUGGCGUUAAGGUUCGUGAAAUAACACAUCCUGGUGUCAAAGUGUCCAGGUUUGUGUUAGAAUUUUCCAACCUGCCGGAAGAAGAAUCGGAUCGACGGAAAAGACUACUGAAUAUUCUAUCGACAAAGUUGAGAGGCGGUGCUAGAACAAAUGCAGAUACUCAGGAACACCCCGAGUGCCAAGGAGAUAGAUAUAGUCACAAGCGAGUGCGUACUUUGAUGUCCAUGAGGUGAUUUUUUUAUCCUCAUAAAUAUGAAAAUGUUCAGAGGAACGAAUUCCCAAUACUUUCAUAUUUAUGGGGAUGAAAAACACAUAUUUUACCUUCUUUUUUUUGCAGGGUUGGGUUUGGACAAUGAUCAAGAAGCCGGUUUGUUUGUAUCUUCUACUUGAUGGUCCAUGAUAUGAUAUAUGUUCAUGCAUGCUUUGUAGUAUUGUAGGUAGGGGAAUUGAUUUCUGUUGUUCACUUGCUAGUAUUUUGCUUCUAACAGAGACCACUGGGAGCAGAGGGAUUUUGAGUCAUAUGGUCCAAUCAAACAGGUAGGUAGUUUUGAAAUAUCGCCAAUGGGAUUUUGUAAGUGUUUCAUUUGUAUUAGUUUUCUUUUGAAAAUUUGAAUGCUCUUUCAACCUUGUAUGAUAUAUGUAGUUAGCUGUAUUUGUUUUUGCAUAAAGAUGGUACUUGUCUUUCUCAUGAUUCAUGAUGGAAAUAACUAGUUUGAUUUUUGUUGGCUUCUUUUUGUUUUGUUUUUCACAUGUUUAUGGAGUUUCAACAGAAUCCAUGCAGUUAUCACAUGACACAAGAGGGAACAGUUUGCCAACCGUACUGCUUCUAAUGCAAAGGCACUUGUACACACUUUGAGGGUUUCAGGCAGAGGAGAUCUUCAGAAUUAUUGCACACAAUUGUCUAGAGGAGUGUUAGGGAUGAAUUAAAUAGGGGAUUUGGUCCCAGAAGAUAUUGAUGUACAUUGUUUGGCAGUACUAAUUAAGGUGGUCGUAUAUAUCUGGUGCAUUGGAUCCCCUUCCAGGCUGGUUCUCUGAUUCAAGGAGAUUCAGGCAUGUUCCCUCAAUCGCAAGGUGACAUAUGAACCAGAUCUAUGAACAAAGAUCUAUGGCACCUAUUCCUUUGCACACAGCUCUCCAACCUUCAAAGGAAAGCUAUCACAGAGUGAAAACUAUUUGUCUUCUCAAUCCCCCAUUGAUCAAGAACCACAGUUUAACAGUGGGAACUUCAUGGCUCUCUUUAACCAUCAACCACUUGGUACACCUUGUGAUGUUGUAGGUAGCUUACUUGGUCAAGGAGUAAAUGCUUCACAGAAUGCUGUUUCUCCACCGUCCAAGGACAUGUUGGAGACAAAAUUGUCCUGAAUGCUUUCUGGCCAAUAAUGCUGCUGAAUUUAAUUAUUUAUCACAAUUCUUAUGUAUUAUAAUGUUGAACAGGUGAAUUCAUACCUAAUUGUACGGGAUUUUCUGCAAUAAGAACUGGAGGUGAAGACUUUGGGCAAGCCAUGCCAUGGUUGUUGCUGGCAACCCAUUCCUCAGGAGCUGCAAAUGCCUUGUAAAUGUGGAUAUUAUGCACUAUUUUGGGAUAGACUCCAAGGCUGUUGAGUUGCUUGUUAAGAAUUCUUCUCAUUUGAGGAGAAUGAAGGUUGAGGGGAGCAAGCUCUGGUGCUGCAAAAAUUUGGGCGUCAAGUAAUUGGCUUGGUGAAAGGUGAAAGAAGCAAGUGUAUAUUUCUCAAGUUUUGAAUAAACAGGUAUACUUAAAACUCCUGAUCAAUGUAUAUUUCACAAGUGUAGGGUUUUUUGGGUGGGAGAUACUUGGAUGUGGGAUUUCAAGUGGAGAAGGAGAUGGUUCGAAUGGGAGACAUUUUUGGUUACAACCAUAAAUCACAUGUUAGCAAAUGUUAGAAUUCAGAAACAGGGUCGUGAUAGUUGGUGGUGGCUUGAUGACAACACUGGAAUAUACUCAGUAAAAUAUGGGUAUAGGGUCUUGCAUAAUUUACUUAUGGGAAGUCAACCAACAGAGGCGUUUUCAAUGAUUUGGAAAUUGAAGGUCCCGAAGAAAGUUAUAUGCCUUGUGUGGAGAGAGUAUUCUUGGAUUGAUUGCCAACUAAGGACAAUCUAAGGAAUAGGAACAUUAUGGAUGCUUCACAGGAUGUGUUUUGCGCUUUUUGCGGACAAUUUGAGGAAACAACCCCGAUUGAACCAUUUUGGCAGCAUUUACAUAAAGUUUUGAAAAAAGAAGCAGAAAUGUGGGUGGUAGUUUGGUGCACAGUUAUAUGGUACGUUUGGUGGGUAAGAAAUAAAUGUGGUUUCACGGAAUCUGUUUUUGACAGGAAGCUGGUUAUGCAGAAUAUUCAUGCGUAUCAAGUUUCAACUUUUCUUUUGCUCAAUGGAUGUCUAACCUGGCUUUGUGUAUGUCUACUUCAUGGGAUGGAUAAUGAAAAUCUAAGAUGAAUAGCUGCUGGAGGGGGAUAAUCGUGUAAAGUCAUACUCUUUCCAUAUCAUAUUAAAGCUUCAACCUUUUUUGGGUUCUGUGAUUUGGAUCAUCAGGUUCAGGAAGAUUGGAGUAAAUUCUGGCACUCAUGUGGCUUCUAGGAUACGUGGCAGUCUUGGCUUUAUCGUAGACUUCUGAUCAUUGUAUUUAUGUAUUCACGUUUCUGUAAGUUAUGUUUGGAAUAUCAAAUAUGUAAAAUAAGGAUUCUAAUCUUACUUUGUGGGAUCAACCAAAUAAAGCAAUAUUUAUGUUUAUCUAGAAACUUGAUGGAAGUUGCAAGAAGCAAAGCAAGUGUUAUGUUAAUUUCUGAUAUUUCAAAUAAACAGGCAUACCUCACAAUUCA